rnacentral:rRNA from 1 species
UACGUAGGGGGCAAGCGUUGUCCGGAAUCAUUGGGCGUAAAGCGCGCGUAGGCGGCCCGGUAAGUCCGCUGUAAAAGUCCAGGGCUCAACCCUGGAAAGCCGGUGGAUACUGCGUGACUAGAGUACGGAAGAGGAGAGUGGAAUUCCUGGUGUAGCGGUGAAAUGCGCAGAUAUCAGGAGGAACACCAAUAGCGAAGGCAGCUCGCUGGGACGUUACUGACACUAAGGCGCGAAAGCGUGGGGAGCGAACAGG